rnacentral:rRNA from 1 species
AGAGUUUGAUCAUGGCUCAGGACGAACGCUGGCGGCGUGCCUAACACAUGCAAGUCGAACGGAACGCCCUUGAAAGAGUUUUCGGACAAUGGAUAGGGAGGUUUAGUGGCGGACGGGUGAGUAACGCGUGAGCAAUCUGCCUUUCAGAGGGGGGACAACAGUUGGAAACGACUGCUAAUACCGCAUAACGUACCGGUGCGGCAUCGCACUGAUACCAAAGAUUAUAUCGCUGAGA